GGCAUUGUAGCUCAGUGGUAGAGUACUGGCUUAGCGUGUGCCAAGGUCCUGGGUUCAAUCCCCGGUGCCA
rnacentral:tRNA from 1 species